GACCCAGUGGCGGAGGGUACGUCGUCCGCGUGCGGUGUGUAUGCGUUCCCAAAGAAUAUUUGCGGGACGUCCUGGUUCGACUCCAGGCUGGGUCG